CCUCUUUGAAUUCAACUAGUAAUCUAAACUUAAGUACCAUGGUGUUGUAGCACUCUGUUUUCUGUUUCAAGAUAAUGCCAUAUGUGAAAGCCAGCUAAAUGGGAAGAAAUAAUUUUACAACCUGGAUGAGUUAAGGAUGAAUUAAUGCUGGAGCAGCUCCAUUCGAAGGAGAUACUCAAACAUUUGUGGAAAUGCUUAAAGGUUCUUUUUGUAUGAAACGAUGCAAUUGUAUGCAUUGUAAUUAACUUUUCUACUAAGAAUGUGAACGCAGUGUAUAUUUGUACUUCCUUUGUUAAGAGGACUCAUCUCCUUUUCAGAUAAGUGCCUGUUUUUAAUUUAAUGUCCAUUGUUCCCCCCCUUGCUGCUGCAAAAAAAACCCAAACACCCAGAGUGAUUUUCUUUGCUCAGUUCAGCUGUAUAAGAAUGACAGUCCAGGCUGUGAGUCCAGGCUGCAUACAUCUGCUGCUGCAAGGUGGUAGGAAUCAAUUUCUAAUAAGUACUAAUUUGGCUAUCAGAGGAGAAGAGGGGAGUUAAGGAAGGCUUUAACUCCCUCUUCCCUUUCUCUGCCCUUUUCUUGUCUGAGAACUGAAAGUAGAGAGUGAGUUUCUAGUUGCUUCCAAUUGUUUGAAAGGUAGGAGAAAUAGUAAUGUGUAAAUUUGUAUGUUUCUAGCUGGAAAGUGAAAUGUGCUAGGCAGACUGCAGAUAAUUCUCUUGCUCUCUCUGUUAGCUCUGCUGCAUAUGAUAUUAGAAUUAACUUAGAGGAUUUUUUCAAAUAGUUGUAAGCAUUGAUAAGAGUCACUAGAUAAUAUCCUGUAGUCAUACAGGUUGCUCCUAUCUGUUGGUUGAGGUAGAACUUACCUCUCCGAUAAAUUUAGUUCCAGAUGAUGCUUCAGAAAUACCUUAUUGUAGUCAACAUGCCUCUAGUUCUUGGGUGCCCAGUAUGUGAUGCUUACACUGUUGUAAUAACACCCAUUAUGACUCUGACACAGCUGCGUGUGUGUUUUGCUAUGGUUAUAGUAGUAGCUGUGGUGAUGGUUUAAAUUAAGACUGACUUGUCCAUUUUCUUGCCAAUCUACUGGAGGUAAACAGUCAGCUAAUUUUAUAUGCUGACAGAGUAUUCCUGCAGGCUAGUGAACUAAAAUUCUUGCGUUAUUUUUAAUAUAAAUAUUUUUAGCUAGUAGAUCUUGUGGUCUUUGCCUAAACAUUUGAAUGUUACUUCAUGGCUUCUAACUUUGAAUAGGUGUUUUACUGUGGGUUACUUUCUCAAGUGUGCUAUAAUUAGGGAUUUUAGAUGUCUGUGCUAUUUGUGGUUUUGCAAAUCCAUGUUGAUGCUGCAGUGAUGCUUGACAAAAUGAUUUCUAUUUAGAGGCCACUGUUUUAGAUGAGUUGGUUCUGGUUUUAUUAGUGGCAAACUAGGGAUCCUAACUCCUGAAUUUUUCUGUGUUGUUCUUUGCCUUUUUAUGUUGAGAAUUUCCUGAAGCAUGAGUCCUGGAGCAUGCAGU